GGGUGGAUGGCGAAACCGGUAUACGCAUCACACUCAAAAUGUGACGACUAAAGUCUUGAGGGUUCGAGUCCCUCUCUACCCA
rnacentral:tRNA from 1 species